rnacentral:lncRNA from 1 species
CGUCACGCUUGGGACGGGAGCCGCCUGUUGCUUUAUUGCCUUCGCGUUCGACCCAUUUGCGAAGGCAUGUUGAGCGUAGCCGCCGUGAUUCUGAUUGCUGCGUCUGAUUCGCUUGCCCUUGGUAAAUGUGGUUGCCAUGCAAGUGCAAACGGCGCUGCAACAGCCGAUGUGAAACAAAUAUGACACCGGGAUCUCACGACGGGCAGAACUUCUCGAGGUUUGUUCUGAUAUCGCAGGAUUUCGUGGUGUCUGAGCACUCUGGAGGAAUCGUGUGUUGGCUCAGCACAGCUGUCGCGCUUGUUGCUGUUGCGCGUAAGGCUUGGCGCUAAUGAUGAGGCGUGGGGCAUAUGUUUUUCUCGGGAUGACGACUGCUCCUUGAGGGGGUCGCGUUUGGUUUCAGACUUGGUAUGUUCGGUGAAAUGUGAUAUUGCGUCAGGGAGUAAGCAGCCACCGGAGAGUGUGUAGAAGUAUUUGACUCGCGACGUGUGCCAGAGGAUAGUGUAAAUCAAAGGCAUCGAGCACGACGGCAACAGUAAGGAACGACACUGGAGGUCCGCUGCAGUAGUUCGGUGCACUUAGUGGGAAUGGUUGGGCGCGACCAACGUAGUUCUCUUUUGGUAUGGGGCGGAUGGGUUAAGCAGCGUGGCAGUGACAGGGGUCUUGGUUUCAGUAUGGUCUUCCGCUUCUACGCGAUUUGGCAUAUUUAGUAGAGAGGCUUUGCUGGGGCACAGGAUGCUACCAUCAGGGGACAGACACUGCUGUGGAGUUGGAUUAUUCGUGGCCAGGGGUAUGCAUUUGUGGAUCGUUAUCAGGCCUUUAGGGCCGCGGUGGAACACGGACCCGUAGGCAAGCCCGUCGUCAGGAACGAACGGAUAGGCGACCGCUUGUAGCAUUCUGAAGGUGUCCCACGGUUACUGACACAUAAUGAUUAGUCCACAUCAGGAUCCUUUCCGCUUGUUGAUCGUGGGCAGGCCAUGAACGUAG